rnacentral:rRNA from 1 species
UACGUAGGGGCAAGCGUUGUCCGGAUUAUUGGCGUAAAGAGCGUGUAGGCGGCCAGGUAGGUCUGCUGUGAAAACUCGAGGCUUAACCUCGAGCUGUCGGCGGAAACCAUCUGGCUAGAGUCCGGAAGAGGAGAAUGGAAUUCCCGGUGUAGCGGUGAAAUGCGCAGAUAAUCAGGAGGAACACCAGCGGCGAAGGCGGCGCUCUGGGCCGG